AGUGAACGCUGGCGGUAGGCCUAACACAUGCAAGUCGAACGGCAGCACAGGAGAGCUUGCUCUCUGGGUGGCGAGUGGCGGACGGGUGAGGAAUACAUCGGAAUCUACUUUUUCGUGGGGGAUAACGUAGGGAAACUUACGCUAAUACCGCAUACGACCUACGGGUGAAAGCAGGGGAUCUUCGGACCUUGCGCGAUUGAGCGAGCCGAUGUCGGAUUAGCUAGUUGGCGGGGUAAAGGCCCACCAAGGCGAUGAUCCGUAGCUGGUCUGAGAGGAUGAUCAGCCACACCGGAACUGAGACACGGUCCAGACUCCUACGGGAGGCAGCAGUGGGGAAUAUUGGACAAUGGGCGCAAGCCUGAUCCAGCCAUACCGCGUGGGUGAAGAAGGCCUUCGGGUUGUAAAGUCCCUUUGUUGGGAAAGAAAUCCAGCUGGUUAAUACCCGGUUGGGAUGACGGUACCCAAAGAAUAAGCACCGGCUAACUUCGUGCCAGCCGCCGCUGUAA
rnacentral:rRNA from 1 species